rnacentral:rRNA from 1 species
CCUACGGGAGGCAGCAGUAGGGAAUCUUCCACAAUGGGCGAAAGCCUGAUGGAGCAACUCCGCGUGGGUGAAGAAGGUCUUCGGAUCGUAAAACCCUGUUGUUAGAGAAGUAAGUGCGUGCGAGUAACUGUUCACGUUUCGACGGUAUCUAACCAGAAAGCCACGGCUAACUACGUGCCAGCAGCCGCGGUAAUACGUAGGUGGCAAGCGUUAUCCGGAUUUAUUGGGCGUAAAGGGAACGCAGGCGGUCUUUUAAGUCUGAUGUGAAAGACUUCGGCUUAACCGGAGUAGUGCAUUGGAAACUGGGAGACUUGAGUGCAGAAGAGGAGAGUGGAACUCGAUGUGUAGCGGUGAAAUGCGUAGAGAUAUGGAAGAACACCAGUGGCGAAAGCGGCUCUCUGGUCUGUAACUGACGCUGAGGUUCGAAAGCGUGGGUAGCAAACAGGAGUAGAUACCCCGGUAGUC